AGGAAGCGCUGGGGGGCAGAGGAGCGGAGUUGAGGCAGAAGCCAGUCAGGAUGGUGGUGCCUUCGCUGAAGCUUCAGGACCUCAUCGAAGAGAUUCGCGGGGCCAAGACUCAGGCCCAGGAGCGGGAGGUGAUCCAAAAGGAGUGUGCCCACAUCCGGGCCUCCUUCCGCGACGGGGACCCAGUGCACAGGCACCGGCAGCUGGCCAAACUGCUCUACGUCCACAUGUUGGGCUACCCCGCCCACUUUGGACAGUGACCUGAGCCAGGGGAUUCAGCCAGUACAAGGCCUGGCCUUGUGCACUUUGAGCACCAUGGGCUCUGCUGAGAUGUGCCGAGACCUGGCCCCAGAGGUGGAGAAACUGCUCCUGCAGCCCAGUCCCUACGUGCGCAAGAAGGCUAUUCUGACUGCAGUGCACAUGAUCCGGAAGGUCCCUGAACUCUCCAGUGUCUUCCUCCCACCCUGUGCCCAACUGCUUCAUGAGCGUCACCAUGGUAAGGCUGUGGGGCCCCCCAUCCUUUGCUUCAGGUCUAUGGACAGAAGAAUUGAAAAUCGGAUGGGAACCCCAGCUCAUAGGAGAAUGGUAGUGCACACACACAGGCACACACGCAAUAGACUCUCUUGCCCCUGGCCCCCACCAUUCACUUCCCCGACCCUGACCCCAGGCAUCCUGCUGGGCACCAUCACGCUGAUCACGGAGCUCUGCGAACGAAGCCCUGCAGCCCUCAGGCACUUCCGAAAGGUGGGCUGGUGAAGGGGCAGGCCCUGGGCCUGGAAGAGAGGGUCAGUGGGGAAGGAAUGGGGCUUUAGCUGGAGAGGAUUAGAACGAAUGCCCAAAGUUGUGCCCUCCCUCCAGGUGGUACCCCAGCUGGUACACAUCCUCCGGACUCUGGUGACAAUGGGAUACUCCACAGAACACAGCAUAUCUGGAGUCAGCGACCCCUUCCUGCAGGUGGGGUGACCUUUCACUGCUGUAUCCCUGGAUCAGAGAGGGCAUAGCAGUAA
rnacentral:sRNA from 1 species